GAGCUUCAAUGCAAUUUGUUUUACUUUCACGGGUGCCUUCACAAGGGGCUUGAUGUAAUUUUCCUGUUAUCUUUUUAAUAAAAUUCAACCCGGUGCAGUCAAAAAAAAAUAGUGGGCUGGGUUGAAUUAGUCCUUGCUUGCGAAGUUUACUCGGCCAUAGUUUUAUUAUUUUCUAUUUCCUGGGCUGUAUUUUCUAUGGAUUAUAAGGUGAAAGUGGACCGAACCAUGUUAAUACUAA
rnacentral:lncRNA from 1 species